UACGGAGGGUGCAAGCGUUAUCCGGAUUCACUGGGUUUAAAGGGUGCGUAGGCGGGUUGGUAAGUCCGUGGUGAAAUCUCCGAGCUUAACUCGGAAACUGCCGUGGAUACUAUCAAUCUUGAAUAUCGUGGAGGUAAGCGGAAUAUGUCAUGUAGCGGUGAAAUGCUUAGAAAUGACAUAGAACACCAAUUGCGUAGGCAGCUUACUACACGAUCAUUGACGCUGAGGCACGAAAGCGUGGGGAGCAAACAGG
rnacentral:rRNA from 1 species